UUUGAUCCCUGCCAGUAUUAUAUGCUUCUGUCAAAGAUUAAGCCUUUGCAUGUCUAAGCACAAAGUCCUAGUAUGAUGAAGCUGCGAACGGCUCAUUACAACAGUUAUAAUCUUUUUGAUGAAGUACGUACAAGGAUAUCUUUGAGAAUGUCAAAGCUAAUACUUGACGGUUUUCACCCCUUGUCGAGUCCAUUCCCUCUGGGAGUGUAAUCGAUGAGGGCGGGGGAUGCUUCACGUAUCCUCUACAUAUUACCACUUUUUUUUGAAUGAGGGUGGAAUAUAUGCCAAGAGAAUUGUAGAAAUCGAGAGAUUUUCACAAGUCCUCAUUAAGAAUAUCUGACCUAUCAACUGGUUGUUGGUAAGGUAGUGGCUUACCAAGGUGAUAACGGGUAACGAGGAAUAAGGGUUCGACAUCGGAGAGGGAGCUUUAGAGAUGGCUACCACUUCUAAGGAAGGCAGCAGGCGCGAAAAUUACCCAAUCUUUACAAAUGAAGGAGGUAGUGACGACAAUUAACGCUAUCCUCGUCUUUAGGCGAGGAUCGUCGGAAUGAUUUCGAUUUAAAAUAUCGAAAGAUAGCAAUGG
rnacentral:rRNA from 1 species